rnacentral:rRNA from 1 species
GAUGAACGCUGGCGGCGUGCCUAAUACAUGCAAGUCGAGCGAAGAGACGAGGAGCUUGCUCCUCUGACGUUAGCGGCGGACGGGUGAGUAACACGUGGAUAACCUACCUAUAAGACUGGGAUAACUUCGGGAAACCGGAGCUAAUACCGGAUAAUAUAUUGAACCGCAUGGUUCAAUAGUGAAAGACGCUAUUGCUGCAACCUAUAGUUGGAUCCGCGUCGCUUUAGCUAGUUGGUAGGUUAAGGGCUUACCAAGGCAACGAAGCGUAGCUGACCUGAGAGGUGGAUCGGCCACACUGGAACGGAGACACGGUCAAGAGUCCUACGGAAGGCGGCAGUAGGGAAUCUUGCGCAAUGGGCGAAGGCUUGACGAAGCAACGCGGCGUGAGUGAUGAAGUUCUUCGGAUCGUAAAACUCUGUGAUUGGGGAGGAACAAAUGUGUAAGUAACUGUGCACGUCUUGACGGUACCUAAUCAGAAAGCCACGGCUAACUACGUG